rnacentral:rRNA from 1 species
GAUGAACGCUGGCGGCGUGCUUAACACAUGCAAGUCGAACGGAAAGGCCCUGCUUUUGUGGGGUGCUCGAGUGGCGAACGGGUGAGUAACACGUGAGUAACCUGCCCUUGACUUUGGGAUAACCUCAGGAAACUGGGGCUAAUACCGGAUAGGAGCUCCUGCUGCAUGGUGGGGGUUGGAAAGUUUCGGCGGUUGGGGAUGGACUCGCGGCUUAUCAGCUUGUUGGUGGGGUAGUGGCUUACCAAGGCUUUGACGGGUAGCCGGCCUGAGAGGGUGACCGGCCACAUUGGGACUGAGAUACGGCCCAGACUCCUACGGGAGGCAGCAGUGGGGAAUAUUGCACAAUGGGCGGAAGCCUGAUGCAGUAACGCCGCGUGCGGGAUGACGGCCUUCGGGUUGUAAACCGCUUUCGCCUGUGACGAAGCGUGAGUGACGGUAAUGGGUAAAGAAGCACCGGCUAACUACGUGCCAGCAGCCGCCGUAACAC